AUUAAAAAACCUAUCUUUCUUCCCCAAAGGCAAACCCGAUAGAACUCCUGAAACAAACCUAAUUAAAAAACCUCUCUUUCUUCCCCAAAAGCAAACCCAUUAAAACUCCUUAAACAAACCUAUUUUGCUAGCAGACUAAAGAAUCAACAAAGAAACAACAAAUCAAGCAAAAGAUUGUUAUCUAUCCUCUCUCAAACGCUGACCCAAGCACGACCAUGGGUGUUCCUCUCUCAAACGCAGACCCAAGCUCAACCAUGGGUGCCAACGUUUUCAAUCUCCGACCCGGCCGUUCUCUCUGGUCAGGGAAACACUAAUAGAAAAUUAAAUUCUACAAGUUUUGUAAGAAAAUAUUGUGGAUAUGAAUGGGUUUCGUAGUGGAGAUAGUAUUGAAGAGCCUCCCAACCCUCAAAAUCUAUCAACAAUCCUACAGGAAGGGGUUACUCAAUAUGUGGUUUGACCUAUAAAACUUCAAUGCUGCUCCAUGAUGGUCCUCUCAGGUUCUCACAUUUUCUUAUUUUGUAUUUUAAUUCCUUUUUCUAUUUGGUUGGAGAUUUUUAUUUUUAUUUUUCUUUUUUUUUUUGUUAUUAUUAGUAGCCUUGGUUGGAGUUUCUUAAUUCCUAUAAGAUAUUGUUUGAAAUAUAAAGUAUUUUGGCUGAAUUAUUAUGUAAGCCUCCAAUUAAGAAGUUGUAUAACUGACUGGAAACUCAGAUUCAGUUUGUUAUUUUCUAUUUGAUUAUUGAAUUCCCUGUAGAUUUUUUGUUUAGGGCAGGGUUGGAGUAGACUGUGUGUAUCUGUGGGAGUCUGUUUUAUAUCAUUAUCGGUUUAUUAAGUUUAAUCUAAACUGUAUAUGCAAUAUUGUGGCUCUAUUUGGAUUUUGAAGUUUAUUUUAUAUUAGAAGUAUUUGCCAUAUAAAAUAUUAGUAGUAAAUAGUGUUAGGGUAUGAAAAUAUCAGAACACAAGUACCGUUUUACAUAUAAUAUACCCGGCUGGCUCUGGUAAUUUAGUCUUUGCACAUUUGUGAUAUCAUUAUAACUACGGCGUGUAGCUCUGGACAGGUGCUUCCAAUAAUUGGGUUAUUGGAUUUAAUUUUGUGAAUUCUUAUCUGGGUUCAUGUAUGGCUGCCAAUGUCUGAAUUCUCAUUGUAAUUUUUGCACGAUUGGGUGUUGGUUACUUGAGAUUUUAAGUUUAUUUUAGGUUUCUAAUUGUGAUGGGAAUGCCCUGUUUUAAACAUAUUGUCUUUCAUUUCUAUUUGCUGGGAAAUCUAACUAAAUAUCCAACACAAACUUUGUGAUAUUGAUGGCUGACAGAUCGUUAUUAUUCUACUGUUAUAAGUAUGAAUAUUUGAUCUAAAUUCAAUGUGUUUCAAAUCCUACUGUAGUUGCAUGAGCCCUUUGUUGCAUGCCAUAAAUGACCUACGAAAAUCUUAGAUUAAAAUGAGAGGUAGCUAACCUAACUUCUAGCUAGCACUUCAAUUCUUCAAGAGACAAUGGAUCCUCUGUAAAUAAAUUGAAUCUAUAAAUAUUGAAGUUGUAAUGUCAUGUGUUCUGUGCAUUGUCCAUACCCUCCUUGCUUAAGAAGUGUCCAACAAUUACAUGUGAUAGGAGGGUCCCUUGAAGGGCCUGAAAUUAACAAUCUCAAUUCUCCGGUUCAUCUUUUCAAUUUCAACGUUGACCAUUACAUUUUAUGCAUGAAUGGCCUUUUUGUGAUGGUACGAAAGUGUUUAAUAAGGUCAGUUUAAUUGGCUCUGCUAGCCCUGAGAUGCAGUGUGUUUACAUUGGAAGAAAGAAAGGGCCACUGCAUUUCAAGCUGAAUGCUAAAUUGUACAAUGUCAUAUAUACAUCAUAGUAUUCAUUAUUGUACCAUAGAUAUAAGUUUAUAUAUAGAUAAUUGUUUUUUUUUUUAAUGAAUCCCGUGCAUUGCAGGAGAGUAUAACUUAUUGUCAACAAUACUAUGUCUACUAUCUUUAUGUAAUAUAAUAGGCUGGUGGAGAAUAACCAACCAAUAGUACAAAUGCCAAAGCAAUUCAAAGCACAAGUGACAAUUCAAGAAGAGAUGAACAUCAAUAGAAGAACCAUAAGUGAAAUAACAAAAGUUAUGUGGGACUCUGGUAAUGAGGUAUAGAAUUCAAGAGCAAUGUGCAACUCACACUAACAUUUGUACUCAAGGAAAACUAAAGGACAUAUUCAGUGACUAUUAUGAAGCAACAAAGGAAGAAAAUACAAAAAACGCUUUAAAGUUGUCUUUCAAUUUAUUUUAAAUAUUGAUUAAGUAGUUCUUUAAAUUUGUGUUUCAUACAUUUUAUGGAUAAUUGAGGAUGUUAAAGAUUUAAUUCUUCAUUUUAUUUUAAA